GACGAACGCUGGCGGCGUGCUUAACACAUGCAAGUCGAACGGAAAGGCCUUGUCGGGGGUACUCGAGUAGCGAACGGGUGGAUAACACGCGGGUGAUCGGCACUGCACUGUGGGAUAAGCCUGGGUAACUGGGUCUAAUACCGGGGGGGAGCGCACUUUGGGGUGUGUGGGGGAGAGUUUUUUCGGUGUAGGGUGAGGGCGCGGCCUAGCUGCGUGUUGGUGGGGUAAUGGUUUACCAAGGCGGCGACGGGUAGCCGGACUGGGGGGUUGGUCGGGCACAGUCAGACUGAGAUACAGCCCAGACUCCAACGGGAGGCAGCAGUGGGGAAUAUUGCACAAUGGGCGUAAGCGUGAUGCAGCGACGCCGCUGGGGGGAUGACGGCCUUCGGGUUGUAAACUCCUUUCGCCAGGGACGAAGCGGUUUGUGACGGUACCUGGAGAAGAAGCACCGGCUAACCACGUG
rnacentral:rRNA from 1 species